rnacentral:lncRNA from 1 species
UCACAGUUAAUGAGAUGGUGUGAUAUCAUAUAUGCAAAUAUAUCUUCCCUUUCUUCUUUAUGAUACAUCUAUACGUACAAAGUAGGCGGUCCAGAUUUACAUGCAUGCUUAAACAAGUGGUUUAACUACUAUUAUAACCAUUACUUAAUACUUCUUAGGCAUAAAUGCAUUCCUGGCUAAUUAAGUGAUAACAUUUAUCAAUUUGUGUAGCUUUUGAAUUGAACCUAAGGAAAGAAUUUUAAAAUGAAAAAUAAAAAUCUCUAUCGUGUUCAACUUGCAUGAAAAUACUAACUCUUGCUGACCUAAUUUACUUUAAUAAAAAUGUUGAAAAUACUAACCCUUGCAAAAAUUUAAUAUGCAACAACACUCCCUUCAUAAUCUUUGAGUCACUUGGUUUUACCUUGGAAUAACACCAAAAAGUGGUCAACAGUAAUAUAAGUCUAAAUAGCAUGAAUUUUUACAACAUUUUUUUAAAUAGAGUUUGUGUGUCCAAUAAAUAUAUAGGUAUAAUUUCCCCUGCUUAGGGAUACUUUCCAACACAUGUAACUGGAAAAUUCCAUGGGAUAUCCAUGCUUAAAUGAAAUAAUACCUUGAUCCAAUCAUGAAGUAGAGAAAUAACUCUUGCAUUCUCCUAGUUCAUCCAAAGUUACUAUAGCUCCUGAAAAUCAUUUAAAAUAUAUUUAGAAAGACAAAAAUCAGAAGAACAAAACUAACAUCCAAAACUUAUUUUAAGAGUAGUUAGGAUCUCUUGGUUUUUUUUAUCAGCUAAUUAAAUUAAAGGAUACUUAAGGGGCCCUUUAACAAAAAAAUGCAAAAGCAACAAAGAUGUUCUAAUCAUCUAUGUCUCUAUUACAACCCUACACUAGUGCUUAUAACAGAGAAAUGCGCAGCUAAGAAUCCCUUUAAUGCAUCAUCAGUGCAUAAACAAGACAACACUAUAUUCCACACAUUAUGCAUCACCCUAAAAAUUCAGAAAGCACAACACUUUAAUUACAUAGGACAGAACCAGUGGUGACACUAACAAGUCAGAGGAGCAUUAUCCAAACUUCACAACAUGACCAUGAUUAGGAGGGCCUCUGGAAAACUCCCACUAGAGAAUGAUGUGAUUGGAGGAUAUGUAACUAUAAUACCAUAAAGCAUGCCACCUUCCAUCAGAAUUCCACCGCAAUACGAAAUGACUUAGCCAUGAUACUUCCUCGUGCAUAAAGAUAUGUGCCUGUUUUAUGUGUGGUAGGAAUUGAUUUCUAGACAACACCUGCAUCAACUGCAUAGACGAAUACCGCAGAAAAUAUAACAGUUUAAGGCUCCUUAGUGCAAAACGCAGGUAAUAACCAGCCAUCAAAGGAAAGGAUGAGCAAAAAACAUAUUUCAUAUCUAGAUAGAGUGAACAACCGCAUGUCCCAGGGCAUGGUUAAAUAAUGUUGCUACAAAUUCCUCGAGCCUACUCUCAUAUAUCACAAAGUAUAUCAUAAAUGAUUUUGUGGUUUUUUUCAUAAUGUUCAAAAGGGGAUUGUAUGGUAAAACUGAAAUUGUUAUAUGCUAAAGUUUUGGAAUUUGAUUAAUAUUAUUAUUGGGUUGUUAAGAUUUAAUUAGUUAGGAUUUUAUCAUUUAUUUAUUUUAUUAGGAUUUUAUCAUUUAUUUAUUUUAUUAGGAUUUUAUCAUUUAUUUAAUUAGUUAGGAUUUUAUUAGGAUUUUAUUGGGAUUUUAUGAUAUUUAGUACUCUAUAAAUAGAGUAUUGAACUAUUAUUUGAGAUAUGAAUAAUAUAUGCAAUUUGUUUCCUUUUCUCAAUUCUCUAUCAAUUCUCUAUCAUUGUUCUUGUUCUUGGUAUAAUCGGAAACCACCUAAAGGUUCCCUUUGUCCAAAGCCUAAUCGUUCUUCGAAAUCUCUUACGAGAUGACCUAGACGCUUCUACACACGAUCGUUCAUAUCAAUUGGUAUCAGCUAGGACCUUCCAGUACUUUCAAUGGCAGAUUCAACACGCUUCGCUCAAGCUGCUAAGGAGAUGGAAGAUCGAAUCUCCCAAAGGAUGGAUAAUAGGUUUCUGGAACUCGCGAAUACGUUGAAGGAAACCUUGACUCUUUCUAUAAAAGACACCAUGCAGGAAUUACUUACUCAAUCUCAAGGAGAAGGGGCCCAUGGCCUCUCCAAUGACAACAUGGGGUUUGGUGCAAUAUGCGAUGAUCCCAUGGUUGAGUUGUUGCGUUUACGACAAAAGACUUCAGUUGAUGCCUAUCAUGAAGAGUUCAAUUCAAUCAUUACAACAUUGAAGUUAUCUGAUGAUCAUAUUCUAGGGUGCUUCCUUGGUGGAUUAAAGAAAGAAAUCCAGAUGAUGGUAAGAAUGUUCCGACCUCAGUCUCUACAACAUGCGUUUACAUUGGCCAGGACGUAUGAAGGACAUAAUUCAAGCAAUUCGAUGGCCAAAUUCCACAGGGGAGUCUUGGGUCCAGCACCAGUGCCUAUAUCGUCGUCUGCUUCAAUCAAUGUGGCCCCUAAACCCAAACCAACACACCACUUCCCACUUGAGUUCAUAGCAGAACGUAGGGCCAAAGACCUUCUUCACGUCAUGGAGAUGGAGGAAGAUGACUCAUAUGAUAGUCCUCCCAGUUAUGUGACUGAAUUAUUGCAAAGGAAUGAGCCACAAAUCACAGUCAACGCAUUAACCAUAGUGGUUGGGUUCAGAACCAUGAGAAUAGUUGGAUAUCAUAAAAAACGACCUUUACAUAUUCUCAUUGAUAGUGGCAGCACUCAUAAUUUCAAAGAUACCCAAAUGGAUAAAAAAUAUGGGUGCAUAAUUGAUACGAUUGCCCAUUUGAAUGUCAUGGUAAGCUGAGCUCUACCACAAACCUUAAAAAAAUUAAGAAGGUUUUUGGGCUUAGCUGGAUAUUAUAGAAGAUUUGUUCGUGGGUAUGACGUCAUUGCUACACCUGAUAUGCUUAAGAAGGAUAAUUUCAUUUGAAGACGAAGUACCAUUGUUCCAUUCUUGAGGGCAAGAAUGUUGUUGAGGGGAGGGCAUUGUUAUAUGCUAAAGUUUUGGGAUUUGAUUAAUAUUAUUAUUGGGUUGUUAAGAUUUAAUUAGUUAGGAUUUUAUCAUUUAUUUAUUUUAUUAGGAUUUUAUUAGGAUUUUAUCAUUUAUUUAAUUAGUUAGGAUUUUGUUAGGAUUUUAUUAGGAUUUUAUGAUAUUUAGUACUCUAUAAAUAGAGUAUUGAACUAUUAUUUGAGAUAUGAAUAAUAUAUGCAAUUUGUUUCCUUUUCUCAAUUCUCUAUCAAUUCUCUAUCAUUGUUCUUGUUCUUGGUAUAAUCGGAAACCACCUAAAGGUUCCCUUUGUCCAAAGCCUAAUCGUUCUUCGAAAUCUCUUACGAGAUGACCUAGACGCUUCUACACACGAUCGUUCAUAUCAGAAAUCGAGAAAGAAAAACUCAAAAAAAUUUAUUCCAAUCAAAUAAUCUUACCUCUGACGGUAGGGUUUGACUCGCUAAUGGAUGCACUAUUCUUUGCCACUUCACUACUUCGAUUUUUCAAAGUUAGGGUUGAAUACGAAAAUCGUGUGCUCUCAAAUGGGGAAGCUUCACUCUUAGAUUUCGAUUUUGGGUUUCGAUUUGGCAACGAGUUUCAUACAUUGGAUUUGGAAACCAGUAAGCUUUGGGAUUUCGCUUUUGGGAUUUGGCUUUUGGAUCUGGGAACAAAGUUCAGAGCUUUAAUUUGGAAACAUGGUUGAAAGUUUUGAUUUGUGAACGCAAUUUAGAGGUUUGAUCUGGCAACGACGUUCAGAGCUUUGGUUUGGAAACAACCUUCAGAGGUGAGAUUAAGAGGUUCAAAGGUGUUCUCAUUCAGGAUGGGCAUUUGUUUCUGAAACCAAAACAUUUUCAAAAUUUUCCAAACAAAAAAAA